rnacentral:rRNA from 1 species
CCUACGGGUGGCUGCAGUGGGGAAUAUUGCACAAUGGGCGCAAGCCUGAUGCAGCCAUGCCGCGUGUGUGAAGAAGGCCUUCGGGUUGUAAAGCACUUUCAGCGGGGAGGAAGGCGUUAAGGUUAAUAACCUUGGCGAUUGACGUUACCCGCAGAAGAAGCACCGGCUAACUCCGUGCCAGCAGCCGCGGUAAUACGGAGGGUGCAAGCGUUAAUCGGAAUUACUGGGCGUAAAGCGCACGCAGGCGGUCUGUCAAGUCGGAUGUGAAAUCCCCGGGCUCAACCUGGGAACUGCAUUCGAAACUGGCAGGCUAGAGUCUUGUAGAGGGGCGUAGAAUUCCAGGUGUAGCGGUGAAAUGCGUAGAGAUCUGGAGGAAUACCGGUGGCGAAGGCGGCCCCCUGGACAAAGACUGACGCUCAGGUGCGAAAGCGUGGGGAGCAAACAGGAUUAGAUACCCCGGUAGUC